rfam:Ictidomys tridecemlineatus contig051978, whole genome shotgun sequence.
GGGGUUGUGGCUCAGAGGUAGAGCGCUCGCCACCUAGCACGUGAGAGGCCCUGGGUUCGACCCUCAGCAACACAC